rnacentral:rRNA from 1 species
GACGAACGCUGGCGGCGUGCUUAACACAUGCAAGUCGAACGGAAAGGCCCUGCUUUUGUGGGGUGCUCGAGUGGCGAACGGGUGAGUAACACGUGAGUAACCUGCCCUUGACUUUGGGAUAACUUCAGGAAACUGGGGCUAAUACCGGAUAGGAGCUCCUGCUGCAUGGUGGGGGUUGGAAAGUUUCGGCGGUUGGGGAUGGACUCGCGGCUUAUCAGCUUGUUGGUGGGGUAGUGGCUUACCAAGGCUUUGACGGGUAGCCGGCCUGAGAGGGUGACCGGCCACAUGGGGACUGAGAUACGGCCCAGACUCCUACGGGAGGCAGCAGUGGGGAAUAGUGCACAAGGGGCGGAAGCGUGAUGCAGCAACGCCGCGUGCGGGAUGACGGCCUUCGGGUUGUAAACCGCUUUCGCCUGUGACGAAGCGUGAGGGACGGUAAUGGGUAAAGAAACACCGGCUAACUACGU